UACGUAGGGUGCAAGCGUUAAUCGGAAUUACUGGGCGUAAAGCGUGCGCAGGCGGUUGUGCAAGACAGAUGUGAAAUCCCCGGGCUCAACCUGGGAACUGCAUUUGUGACUGCACGGCUGGAGUGCGGCAGAGGGGGGAUGGAAUUCCGCGUGUAGCAGUGAAAUGCGUAGAUAUGCGGAGGAACACCGAUGGCGAAGGCAAUCCCCUGGACCUGUACUGACGCUCAUGCACGAAAGCGUGGGGAGCAAACGAGG
rnacentral:rRNA from 1 species